rnacentral:rRNA from 1 species
GACAGAGGGUGCAAACGUUGUUCGGAAUUACUGGCGUAAAGCGAGUGUAGGCGGUCUCGUAAGUCGGGUGUGAAAGCCCUGGGCUCAAACCCAGGAAGUGCACUCGAAACUGCGAGGCUAGAGUACUGGAGAGGUUGGUGGAAUUCUCGGUGUAGAGGUGAAAUUCGUAGAUAUCGAGAGGAACACCGGUGGCGAAGGCGGCCAACUGGACAGAUACUGACGCUGAGGCGCGAAAGCGUGGGGAGCAAACAGG